rnacentral:tRNA from 2 species
GCGGGUGUAGUUAAGUGGCAGAAUGCAACCUUCCCAAGGUUGAGAUGGGGGUUCGAUUCCCCUCACCCGCUCCA